rnacentral:rRNA from 1 species
AGGAUUUAGAUACCCUGGUAGUCCACGCCGUAAACGAUGUCGACUUGGAGGUUGUGCCCUUGAGGCGUGGCUUCCGGAGCUAACGCGUUAAGUCGACCGCCUGGGGAGUACGGCCGCAAGGUUAAAACUCAAAUGAAUUGACGGGGGCCCGCACAAGCGGUGGAGCAUGUGGUUUAAUUCGAUGCAACGCGAAGAACCUUACCUACUCUUGACAUCCAGAGAACUUUCCAGAGAUGGAUUGGUGCCUUCGGGAACUCUGAGACAGGUGCUGCAUGGCUGUCGUCAGCUCGUGUUGUGAAAUGUUGGGUUAAGUCCCGCAACGAGCGCAACCCUUAUCCUUUGUUGCCAGCGGUUAGGCCGGGAACUCAAAGGAGACUGCCAGUGAUAAACUGGAGGAAGGUGGGGAUGACGUCAAGUCAUCAUGGCCCUUACGAGUAGGGCUACACACGUGCUACAAUGGCGCAUACAAAGAGAAGCGACCUCGCGAGAGCAAGCGGACCUCAUAAAGUGCGUCGUAGUCCGGAUUGGAGUCUGCAACUCGACUCCAUGAAGUCGGAAUCGCUAGUAAUCGUAGAUCAGAAUGCUACGGUGAAUACGUUCCCGGGCCUUGUACACACCGCCCGUCACACCAUGGGAGUGGGUUGCAAAAGAAGUAGGUAGCUUAACCUUCGGGAGGGCGCUUACCACUUUGUGAUUCAUGANNGGGGUGAAGUCNUAACAAGGUA